ACUUACCUGUAUGUGGAUGGUGUUCAGCACCAGGGACAGAAGUGUUUACCUGUGUACGGAUGGUGUUUAGCACUAAGGACAGGUGUGUUACCUG
rnacentral:pre_miRNA from 1 species